AUGUGGCAGAUUCAUCAGAGAAUGCAAGCUGUUUAUGGGGAUUGUGUUGAUGUAAGUCCUGUGCAUCAUUGGGCAAGUAAGUUUAAAGAUGUUGAGGUGGGAACAUCUUAUUUGCAUGACAAACAAAGAGUUGGAUGUCCUGUGACAGCAACCACCGAGUUUCACAAGCAAAAGGUUGACAGAUUGAUUCAGGAUGAUCAUUGCAUCACUCAGAGAGAAAUUUCAAGUAUAAUUGUCAUUUCACAAGAACGUGUGGGUCACAUUAUUGCUUUGCUUGGCUGUUGGAAGAUCACGUUUUUAUUACGAUUUUAUCAUUUAUGUGUUUUAAAUGCAAUUUUUUAUCCUGUAUUUUUGUUUAAUUGAUAUAUUGUAUUACUGUUUUAUCUUUUUAUAGUGUGAUUUGUAUUAUGUUGCCUAUGUUUUGUUCUAUGUUGUUUGGGCCUCUGCCCCAUGUAAGCCACCCUGAGUCCCCACGGGGAGAUGGUGGUGGGGUAUAAAUAAAGUUUUAUUAUUUAUUUAUUAUUUAUCUGUGCACUGUGAGACGUCGGUUGCGGAAACAGUGUCGACUUCUUUUGUGACGGCUUCAGAAAACGUGUUCAUCAUUGGCAGAAAUGUAUCCAAUGGUGUGGUGAUGAUGUGGAAAAGUGGAUAGUGGUACUUAAAGAGCACAUUCUAAGGAUUAUUUCUGCGUUUGAUUUAUUAAAAUAUUCCCAUCCAAACCCAAGUAACGAAGGUGGAGGCAUUACUUUUCAUUCAACCCUCGUAUAUCUCAUUCUCUCUUUUCUGUAUGUGUGCUGAACAUUCCGGAUCCGAUCCUUUGACUUUCCUAGCCACAGUUGGCCAUAUUGCUAGACAGAAAAAGACAGGCAGCUUCAGGCAGCAGAUUUGAGGUAGGAAAUUACUAGAUAAUGUUACCCUUGAAAAAAAAAUAGUUCAGAGAAAGGAGAUUGUGAGUAGAGUUGCCGGAUCCCAAGACUGUCUCUGAGCCACUUUCAUGGGCGAAGUGGAAGAUAGGGGUGAAAAUUCUCUAGUUUCGGGGAAGGGCUUGUGUGCAAAUUUCCAGCUCAGCUAGGACAGCAAACACUUGUUGCAAGUUGCAAAGCUUUACUCAUUUGUUGAUGUUGCACUCCAGCCUUGAGAUACCUUUUCACCCAGCACCACACGAGAAUCUAGUAGUACUAACUUUCCCAAAAGAGCAGUCGAAAAGGAACGAUAAAAGAGCAGUAGUCCAUAUACAAAAGAGUAGUAGUCCAAAAUGGCAAGGAACAUGAAGUCAAGGGAGUCAAGACACAGGCAUAAAUCCAUAAGCAUGAAAGCUGGAACUUUAUCCAAAGCAAAACUCAUUCAGGAACAUAUGCAAACACAGGAAACUUGAGAACUGAGACAGGAACCUGAACCUUUUGGCAACGUUGUCUCCUCUUAGAGACACCAAGUAAACAUCACUUAAUUUAAGCCCAGGCCUGACCAAGAAGCCAUGAGAUCAUAUCUUACACACCUGGGUUUCAAGGAUUUCUCACAGUCUCUCUGAACACCUAAUUAAUCUAUUCUUCACUCCCUCCAUCAGCUGAAGGCCAAUUCCCAAGAUAAAUGGACCUUUCACCGGUUUUCCUCUCUCCUGUUGCUAAGGAACGAACAUUGGAAUCCAAAACCUCCUUGCUCUUACCUUCAACUGCCUGCACUUCUCUCUGAUCCAAGGCCUGCAAUUCAUUCUUUCAAUAUUUCAUUUUUGACUGGAUCUACACCACUAAAGAAGGGUGUUUGAACUGCACUGUAGAUGGUCAGUGUAGAGCAGGGGUCUCCAAACUAAGGCCCGGGGACCGGAUGUGGCCCUCCAAGGCCAUUAACCUGGCCCCCGCCCUCAGUUUUAGACUUAGGCUUGCCCAAAGUCUGAAAUGACUUGAAGGCACAACAACAACAAUCCUACUCG
rnacentral:lncRNA from 1 species